UACGUAGGCAGCGAGCGUUGUUCGGAGUUACUGGGCGUAAAGAGUGUGUGGGUGGUUCUCUAAGUUUGGUGUGAAAUCUCCCGGCUCAACUGGGAGGGUGCGCCGAAAACUGGAGGGCUUGAGUAUGGGAGAGGAAAGCGGAAUUCCUGGUGUAGCGGUGAAAUGCGUAGAUAUCAGGAGGAACACCUGCGGUGUAGACGGCUUUCUGGACCAUUACUGACACUGAGACACGAAAGCGUGGGGAGCAAACAGG
rnacentral:rRNA from 1 species